rnacentral:rRNA from 1 species
UGGGGAAUAUUGGACAAUGGGGGCAACCCUGAUCCAGCAAUGCCGCGUGUGUGAAGAAGGUCUUCGGAUUGUAAAGCACUUUCGACGGGGACGAUGAUGACGGUACCCGUAGAAGAAGCCCCGGCUAACUUCGUGCCAGCAGCCGCGGUAAUACGAAGGGGGCUAGCGUUGCUCGGAAUGACUGGGCGUAAAGGGCGUGUAGGCGGUUUACACAGUCAGAUGUGAAAUCCCCGGGCUUAACCUGGGAGCUGCAUUUGAUAC